rnacentral:rRNA from 1 species
UACGUAGGUGACAAGCGUUAUCCGGAUUCACUGGGUUUAAAGGGUGCGUAGGCGGGCAGAUAAGUCAGUGGUGAAAUCCCCGAGCUUAACUUGGGAACUGCCAUUGAUACUAUUUGUCUUGAAUGUCGUGGAGGUUAGCGGAAUAUGUCAUGUAGCGGUGAAAUGCUUAGAUAUGACAUAGAACACCCAUUGCGAAGGCAGCUAACUACGCGAAUAUUGACGCUGAGGCGCGAAAGCGUGGGGAUCAAACAGG